rnacentral:misc_RNA from 1 species
GAUGAAGAACGUAGCGAAAUGCGAUACUUGGUGUGAAUUGCAGAAUCCCGUGAACCAUCGAGUCUUUGAACGCAAGUUGCGCCCGAAGCCAUCAGGUUGAGGGCACGUCUGCCUGGGCGUCACAUAUCGUUGCCCAAUGCCUAUUGCAGUGCAAUAGGAAUUUCUAGGGCGAAUGAUGGCUUCCCGUGAGCGUUGUUGCCUCGCGGUUGGUUGAAAAUCGAGUCCUUGGUAGGGUGUGCCAUGGUAGAUGGUGGUCGAGUUAGAACGAUACCGAUCAUGUGCAUGCUCCCCAAAAUAUGGCCUCUAUGACCCACACGCGUCUUUUGACGCUCAUGACGAGACCUCAGGUCAGGCGGGGCUACCCGCUGAAUUUAAGCAUAUCAAUAGGCGGGGA